rnacentral:rRNA from 1 species
AUUACCGCGGCUGCUGGCACGGAGUUAGCCGGUGCUUCUUCUGUCAGUAACGUCAAUUCGCAUAGGUAUUAUCUAUACAACCUUCCUCCUGACUGAAAGUGCUUUACAACCCGAAGGCCUUCUUCACACACGCGGCAUGGCUGCAUCAGGGUUUCCCCCAUUGUGCAAUAUUCCCCACUGCUGCCUCCCGUAGGAG